rnacentral:rRNA from 1 species
AUUGAACGCUGGCUGCAGGCCUAACACAUGCAAGUCGAACGAUUGGCGGACGUGUGAGUAAUGUCUGGGAAACUGCCUUAUGGAUUGGGAUAACUACUGGAAACGGUAGCUAAUACCGCAUACCAUCGGAUGUUCCCAGAUGGGAUUAGCUAGUAGGUGGGGUAAAGGCUCACCUAGGCGACGAUCCCUAGCUGGUCUGAGAGGAUGACCAGCCACACUGGAAUUGAGACACGGCCCAGACUCCUACGGGAGGCAGCAGUGGGGAAUAGUGCACAAGGGGCGCAAGCCUGAUGCAGCCAUGCCGCGUGUAUGAAGAAGGCCUUCGGGUUGGAAAGCACUUUCAGCGGGGAGGCGUUACCCGCAGAAGAAGCACCGGCUAACUCCGUGCCAGCAGCCGCGGUAAUAC